AUCGCUUCUUGGCCUUUUAGCUAAGAUCAAGUGUAGUAUCUGUUCUUACCAGUUUAAAUACGGUAACAAACUACAGUAGUCUGGUACCUGUGGCUUAGUCACCAAUAGAAAUCAAGAUAAUUUCAUAUAACAUUAUAGUUACCCCAGAUGUCUCAAAAUAUUUGCCCUGAUCGCUAUUGCAAAAUUAUGGAAGUUACUUAACUUGCCAUUAGAUCUUUUUGUAU
rnacentral:snRNA from 1 species